AUAUAUACUUGCGAAUAUUAAAAAAAAAAUAAAUACAUGAAAUUUUUUUAGCGUAAAAAUACGCGUCGAUGGAGUACCCACAUGAUAAAGGUUCCAAGUUCUCAAAAUUUCAAAAUUUUUAAAUCGUAAUAUAUAAGAAAAUUUUUUUUCCAUUAAAUAUAUCGAUGUGGGUACUCAUUGAAAAGCAAAUUCGAUAAUAUACACGAUCUACAUACUUAUCAAUUUAGCUUCAAAAAAGUAAAAAAAUAAAAUAAAUUUUUGUUGUCAACAGUGCUUAUAGUUGAUAAAAUUGACACACUAUGCAGUACAGUCAUCAGCUCCCACUCCAUUUUAUUUGCUUUGAACUUUUGGUAUAUAAUUCAGCCUAAAUCUAUCAUACUCACCAGUCUUUUUAAACACAUCCUCAUAAUUCUUGACUAUAAAAGAAAACUAGAAAUGAAGGUGUCUGGAAUUUUUUUGUUUUUCGUCAUGACUUUUGCUGUUCUACUCCUCUCAUCAGCUGUCUCGAGCUGCAUAACAGACGAUGAUUGCCCUGCAAGACACUGGUGCAAUCAGGGAAGCUGUGAUCAUGCACACGGUCCUGGGCAGACAGCUGCAGAUUGCCCAUACUUGCACCCGAAACACUAGAAAUCUUCAUACAGAUUUUACAGUUCAAUUUUAUCACAUUCUUCUUAAUUUGAAUCAUAAUAUAUAAUCUGAAUCGAAAAUAUAAGUAUUUAAAAAAAUGCA